UUCUUCGUAGCACAGUGGUAGUUGCACCGAGCUGUUAAUAGGGCUUAAACCUUGUCAUCGGUACUCGGGGGUCGCAGGUUCGAGCCCUGCCGAGGAAG